rnacentral:rRNA from 1 species
AUUGAACGCUGGCGGCAGGCCUAACACAUGCAAGUCGAGCGAGAGGCGGACGGGUGAGUAAUGUCUGGGAAACUGCCUGAUGGAGGGGGAUGACUACUGGAAACGGUAGCUAAUACCGCCUACCAUCAGCUGUGCCCAGAUGGGAUUAGCUAGUAGGUGGGGUAACGGCUCACCUAGGCGACGAUCCCUAGCUGGUCUGCGAGGAUGACCAGCCCAACUGGAACGGAAACACGGUCCAGACGCCUACGGGAGGAAGAAGUGGGGAAUAUUGAAAAAGGGGCGCAAGCCUGAUGCAGCCAGGCCGGUGAGUGAAAGAAGGCCUUCGGGUUGAAAAGCACGUUCAGCGGGGAGGCGUUGCCCGCAGAAGAAGCAACGGCUAACUCCGUGCCAGCAGCCGCGGUAAUAC